rnacentral:lncRNA from 1 species
GGGUAUGAAAAUAUAUCAAAUCCAAUCACUUAUCUUUAUGUAUCUUGAUCUGAAGGUGAUGAUUCAGUUAAUGAUACAUUAAAUUUUUUUUUUAAUUAUCACCCUACUUUGGUCGAAGACUUUCAGAAUCACCAUCCUAUGAGAUCACAUAAGAUGUUUGCUUCCCUUAUUAGGAGUGACUGAUCCCUUAUUGAUCAUUUACAACCUCUAUACAUACUCACCAUAUCCAGAAUACCCCACAC